UCUAGUAUGAAAAUAAUAGGA
ensembl:piRNA 21ur-13331 ncRNA